GAGAAGCUUCGACUAAGGUUCGAUUCGAGCGCAGCGAGAAAGCGUUGCCGCAGGCAACGACCCGAAGGGCGAAGCGCGCAGCGCUGAGUCAUCCUUCCCCCACCACCA
rnacentral:sRNA from 2 species